rnacentral:rRNA from 1 species
GAUGAACGCUGGCGGCGUGCCUAAUACAUGCAAGUCGAGCGAACAGACGAGGAGCUUGCUCCUUCGACGUUAGCGGCGGACGGGUGAGUAACACGUAGGUAACCUACCUAUAAGACUGGGAUAACUUCGGGAAACCGGAGCUAAUACCGGAUAAUAUUUCGAACCGCAUGGUUCGAUAGUGAAAGAUGGCUUUGCUAUCACUAAUAGAUGGACCUGCGCCGUAUUAGCUAGUUGGUAAGGUAACGGCCUACCAAGGCAACGAUACGUAGCCGACCUGAGAGGGUGAUCGGCCACACUGGAACUGAGACACGGUCCAGACUCCUACGGGAGGCAGCAGUAGGGAAUCUUCCGCAAUGGGCGAAAGCCUGACGGAGCAACGCCGCGUGAGUGAUGAAGGUCUUCGGAUCGUAAAGCUCUGUUAUUAGGGAAGAACAAACGUGUAAGUAACUGUGCACGUCUUGACGGUACCUAAUCAGAAAGCCACGGCUAACUACGUG